ensembl:lncRNA
AUCUUCCCUCCUACUGGUAACAGCCUGCGUGUGAUCGUGAAAAGCUGCAGAAGAGAGUCCCUUUGUGAUGAACUUCCUUGUCUUGGAAAGGACUGUGUUUCUUCUCUGAAGUUUUACCAGCCAGCCAGAGGGUCUUCUCUUGGCAUUGCCAGAAUUUGGCAGGACUUGGCCUGCUGACAGUUUUCUUCAGGACACGAAGUUCUCAGCCCCUGUAAUAUUAGUGCAGCGGGUUCCUCACUCGUUCUGUUUCCAGACCUGAGCCAUGGAGGUGUGUGUGGGACGUUAAGAACAGAAUCUUGGCCCUGCUGAUGUUAAAUCCUACUGCACUUUGGUGGAGACAGAAUUUCAUUGCAUAGCUUUUGCUCUUUGUCAGACAAUGCAG